rnacentral:rRNA from 1 species
GACGAACGCUGGCGGCGUGCCUAAUACAUGCAAGUUGAGCGAUGAAGAUUGGUGCUUGCACCAAUUUGAAGAGCAGCGAACGGGUGAGUAACGCGUGGGGAAUCUGCCUUUGAGCGGGGGACAACAUUUGGAAACGAAUGCUAAUACCGCAUAACAACUUUAAACAUAAGUUUUAAGUUUGAAAGAUGCAAUUGCAUCACUCAAAGAUGAUCCCGCGUUGUAUUAGCUAGUUGGUGAGGUAAAGGCUCACCAAGGCGAUGAUACAUAGCCGACCUGAGAGGGUGAUCGGCCACAUUGGGACUGAGACACGGCCCAAAAUCCUACGGGAGGCAGCAGUAGGGAAUCUUCGGCAAUGGAAGAAAGUCUGACCGAGCAACGCCGCGUGAGUGAAGAAGGUUUUCGGAUCGUAAAACUCUGUUGGUAGAGAAGAACGUUGGUGAGAGUGGAAAGCUCAUCAAGUGACGGUAACUACCCAGAAAGGGACGGCUAACUACGUG